GCCCACAGCGGGGCCCCUCAGGCGCCUCACAGCUGGGCCCUGCGGAGAGCGCGGGGCCCUCAGAACGGCGCCUUUCUCCCCUCAGGUGUCCCGGCACAGCCGGCCUGUCCCAUCGGGCACCUGCUGGCAUUGGGGAGCCAGCCCUGCUCAGGGCCUCAGCAACUGGGAGUGGUGCCAUCAGCAGCAGGAGCACUGAGGUGGAAGGGAAGCACAGGAUGACAUGUCCUCCCGUCAGAAGAGAAAGGGAGGAAGAGGACAAUGGAGACAAAACAUUCAAAGAAAAUUUCAGCUCAAGUUUGAUUUUGAGUAGAGCACGAUGUUAUGAGGAGCUGUAUGGUCAGGAACUGUAGGAGGAUGUGGAAGAGCCAGAUUGUACCCACGCCACUGCAGACAUUUUAGGGAGACUAGAGAUGGUACACUUAACAAAAUUUCAGGCAUUAACAAUAAGCAGUGGGGAAAGAGCUUCUACUGACAGUAGC